AAGUCGUAACAAGGUUUCCGUAGGUGAACCUGCGGAAGGAUCAUUAUGGUAAAGUUGGGGUGGAUUUCAUGUGAUCGAUUCGUCUGAACUGGGAUGAAGCUCCAACUAUAAAAAUUUCCUAGUGUAUCGACUGGCUGUGGCAACGCAGUCAGUCACCCAUUUAACCCUAAUUUAAUUAUACUUCUACCAACAGAUACAACUUUUAACAAUGGAUCUCUUGGCUCUC
rnacentral:misc_RNA from 1 species